AGGAAAUGAAAGGUCUGGAUGUCUACUCUGGCCUGGAAGUAAGGCAGCCAGGUGUAUAUGUGUGUCCUAUCUGACUGUGUGUGUUGUACUAGGUUGGGUAUCUGACUGUGUGUGUCCUAUCUGACUGUGCGUGUUGUACUAGGUUGGGUAUCUGACUGUGCGUGUUGUACUAGGUUGGGUAUCUGACUGUGCGUGUUGUACUAGGUUGGGUAUCUGACUGUGCGUGUUGUACUAGGUUGGGUAUCUGACUGUGUGUGUCCUAUCUGACUGUGCGUGUUGUACUAGGUUGGGUAUCUGACUGUGUGUGUCCUAUCUGACUGUGCGUGUUGUACUAGGUUGGGUAUCUGACUGUGUGUGUCCUAUCUGAAUGUGCGUGUUGUACUAGGUUGGGUAUCUGACUGUGUGUGUUGUACUAGGUUGGGUAUCUGACUGCGUGUUGUACUAGGUUGGGUAUCUGACUGUGUGUGUCCUAUCUGACUGUGCGUGUUGUACUAGGUUGGGUAUCUGACUGUGCGUGUUGUACUAGGUUGGGUAUCUGACUGUGUGUGUUGUACUAGGUUGGGUAUCUUACUGUGCGUGUUGUACUAGGUUGGGUAUCUGACUGUGUGUGUCCUAUCUGACUGUGUGUGUUGUACUAGGUUGGGUAUCUGACUGUGUGUGUCCUAUCUGACUGUGCGUGUUGUACUAGGUUGGGUAUCUGACUGUGUGUGUCCUAUCUGACUGUGCGUGUUGUACUAGGUUGGGUAUCUGACUGUGUGUGUCCUAUCUGACUGUGCGUGUUGUACUAGGUUGGGUAUCUGACUGUGUGUGUCCUAUCUGACUGUGCGUGUUGUACUAGGUUGGGUAUCUGACUGUGUGUGUCCUAUCUGACUGUGCGUGUUGUACUAGGUUGGGUAUCUGACUGUGUGUGUCCUAUCUGAAUGUGCGUGUUGUACUAGGUUGGGUAUCUGACUGUGCGUGUUGUACUAGGUUGGGUAUCUGACUGUGUGUGUCCUAUCUGACUGUGCGUG